GAGACAAUUAUAGAUCCUGGAAGACAAUUCUGAUUGGUCAAUAAAAAUCGAUUUCAAUGCUAUUUUGUUUUUGUUUUUUAGGAGUUUAGCCAAUUUAUCAUGAAAGGUAAAAGGGGAUAAAGGAACCGUGUGUUGAUUGUCCUGUAAAUAUAAGUUGUCUUCCUCCAUAUGUAAAAAGGGAAUAAAUAAAUCAAUUAAAUUUCGGGAUGCUUCAUGAAGUGCUUCUUUCGGAGUUAAACUUCNUAGCUAAUUUAUCAUGAAAGGUAAAAGGGGAUAAAGGAACCGUGUGUUGAUUGUCCUGUAAAUAUAAGUUGUCUUCCUCCAUAUGUAAAAAGGGAAUAAAUAAAUCAAUUAAAUUUCGGGAUGCUUCAUGAAGUGCUUCUUUCGGAGUUAAACUUCCGUUUG
rnacentral:lncRNA from 1 species